GAUGAACGCUGGCGGCGUGCCUAAUACAUGCAAGUCGAGCGAACAGAUGAGGAGCUUGCUCCUCUGACGUUAGCGGCGGACGGGUGAGUAACACGUGGAUAACCUACCUAUAAGACUGGGAUAACUUCGGGAAACCGGAGCUAAUACCGGAUAAUAUAUUGAACCGCAUGGUUCAAUAGUGAAAGACGGUUUUGCUGUCACUUAUAGAUGGAUCCGCGCCGCAUUAGCUAGUUGGUAAGGUAACGGCUUACCAAGGCAACGAUGCGUAGCCGACCUGAGAGGGUGAUGGCCAACCUGGGAACUGAGAACCGGUCCAGAUCCUUAGGGGAGGAAGAAGUGGGAAACUUCCCGCAAUGGGCGAAAGCUUACCGGAGAAAGGCGGGGGGAGGGAGGAAGUCCUCCGGAUGGUAAACUUUUUUAAUAGGGGAAGACAAAAUGGGUAGGUACUAAUCACGGUUUGGAGGGUCCCAAACAAGAAAGCACGGGUAACCUCCGG
rnacentral:rRNA from 1 species